rnacentral:rRNA from 1 species
CACCGCGGUUAUACGAGAGGCCUAAGUUGACAGACAGCGGCGUAAAGAGUGGUUAAGGAAAACGCAAAACUAAAGCCGAACGCCUUCAGAACUGUCAUACGUUUUCGAAGGUAUGAAGCCCACCCACGAAAGUGGCUUUAUUUCCCCUGAACCCACGAAAGCUAAGGAA